GUGGCUAUGUUUUACAAGUAACCUUGUGCUGGUUGGCUGAAAUAUGAGUCCACAGCAUUUAAACCAAUAAUAUUGUACAAGUUCUAGUGUUUUCCUUAGACUCCUGGGUAUCGGUUAGCUGCAAAGCUGCCAAAGGACAUUCCACAGUCAAAGGAAAUUGAGUGUAGGUGGGCAGUCCAGAGCCCAAGUGCAUACUUUAUAAUCUCUCAGUUGUUAUACUUACGAGGAGCGGCACAAGGGGAUAGAGAGCAGACAAACUGCAUUAUCCUGGUAAUUAACUAUCUCAGCAAUAUAGUGGAACCAUGUCAGUGGUAAUGCUGUGUAACAAUUUGCAUACAUUAGUUUUCGUGUCCCAAGAAAGCAAUUUCUGUAGCAUUUAAGAGGAAAAUAAGGUGGGGAAGAAAAAAAAAAAAAAAAAAAAAGGGAAGAAAAUGAAAGGGGGAGGGUUAGACUGAGGUAAAUUCUUAUUUUAAUUCAGAAUAGGAUUCAAAUAAAGAAAACUAAACCACUAAACCA
rnacentral:lncRNA from 1 species